UCCUACAUUUGAAAGUGACUGUGGACUACCCAUGUCCUGGUCAUUCAUGGUGCACAGAGAGGAAUUGCCGAAACCGUUUCCCUGUGUUUGGAGGGUCCAUUCCUGUCCCUUCCAGACCUCCCACA
rfam:Loxodonta africana unplaced genomic scaffold scaffold_19, whole genome shotgun sequence.